rnacentral:rRNA from 1 species
GCCCAGACUCCUACGGGAGGCAGCAGUGGGGAAUAUUGCACAAUGGGGGAAACCCUGAUGCAGCGACGCCGCGUGAGUGAAGAAGUAUUUCGGUAUGUAAAGCUCUAUCAGCAGGGAAGAAAAUGACGGUACCUGAGUAAGAAGCCCCGGCUAACUACGUGCCAGCAGCCGCGGUAAUACGUAGGGGGCAAGCGUUAUCCGGAUUUACUGGGUGUAAAGGGAGCGUAGACGGCGAUACAAGUCUGAAGUGAAAGCCCGGGGCUCAACCCCGGGACUGCUUUGGAAACUGUGUUGCUGGAGUGCUGGAGAGGCAAGCGGAAUUCCUAGUGUAGCGGUGAAAUGCGUAGAUAUUAGGAGGAACACCGGUGGCGAAGGCGGCUUACUGGACUGUAACUGACGUUGAGGCUCGAAAGCGUGGGGAGCAAACAGGAUUAGAUACCCCCGUA